rnacentral:rRNA from 1 species
UACGAAGGGGGCUAGCGUUGCUCGGAAUGAUUGGGCGUAAAGGGCGCGUAGGCGGUUCGUACAGUCAGACGUGAAAUUCCCGGGCUCAACCUGGGGGCUGCGUUUGAUACGUACGGGCUUGAGUUCGGAAGAGGGUCGUGGAAUUCCCAGUGUAGAGGUGAAAUUCGUAGAUAUUGGGAAGGAACACCAGGUGGCGAAGGCGGUCGCCUGGGCCGUAUGACUGCGCUGAGCGCGAAGA